rnacentral:rRNA from 1 species
UGCAAGUUAUUUCGUUGUCAGGACUAGUCAUUCGAAGGGUCUCUUGGUUCGCUAAGAGGCACUUCAAACCUUCAAACCUGCCGGCAGGCGGUCUUUAGCUGGUAGCAAUACUCGCUGGGGAUACCGGUCGUGUCAACCCAACUUGGACCUAUUGUUAAAGGAGUACUGGCGAGAUGAGUAAUCGUUUCAAUAGGAAGCUUUGACAAUAGCCCCCUAGAAAAACAUCAUUGUUAAUCUUUUUUAAACAAUUGUCAAUGUUGCAGUAGACUAACGUCUAUUAAGACUGAGAUGAAAGAAUGAAAAAACAACUUUUGACAACGGAUCUCUAGGCUCUCGCAACGAUGAAGAACGCAGCGAAUUGCGAUAAGUUGUGUGAAUUGCAGAAUUUCGUGAAUCAUCGAAUCUUUGAACGCAUAUUGCGCUUCCUGGUAUCCCGGGAAGCAUGCCUGUUUGAGAAUCGCUUUUACUUCUCACCCCAUUUGGCUGAUCGCAAGAUUGGUUAGGUGGAGUGGAUUUGAGUGUACCCGCGCUGUCUAGUACAGCAUGGGACGCUCUAAAGACAAUGGUUUCUUCUGAACCGUAGUUGUGGCGACUUGCUUUGAGGAGUUUACUUCUUGAAAUGCAUUAACCGCAUCACAGUGUUAUCAAGUUGACUUUGGUCGGCCGUUUUCGCUGAGGUGUUGGCGUGUUUCAGUGGUGGGCUCUACUCCAAAUUGAAGCAGGUUGAUUCCGACUACAAACUAGAGGGACUCUUGAACCGGAACAGUGUAAAAGACUUUAAACUCUGACAUGACUGACUUAAUUGUUGAAGCCGAAUCUCUUGCAGCGAAAAGCUAGCAAAGGACUAGGAGCAGCCAAUUUUUGUGGUCUCAAAUUCAGGCAAGAUCACCCGCUGAACUUAAGCAUAUCAAUAGCGGGAGGAAAAGAAACUAACAAGGAUUCCCCUAGUAACGGCGAGUGAAGCGGGAAAAGCUCAAAUUUGAAAUCUCAUGGGGUUCCCCUGUGCGAAUUGUAGUUUCAAGAGGUGUUUUCGGGGACAGGCCAGACGUAAGUCUCUUGGAAUAGAGCAUCAUAGAGGGUGAGAAUCCCGUCUUCCGUCUGGACGCUGUUCCUAUGUGAUACACUCUCAAAGAGUCGGGUUGUUUGGGAAUGCAGCCCAAAGUGGGUGGUAAAUACCAUCUAAAGCUAAAUAACGGCGAGAGACCGAUAGCGAACAAGUACCGUGAGGGAAAGAUGAAAAGAACUUUGAAAAGAGAGUUAAAAGUACGUGAAAUUGUCAAAAGGGAAACGCUUGAAACCAGUAUUUUGGUUUUGGAGUUGGUCCUUUGCCUUCGGGUAGAGGGUCGCCACCUCCUUGUACCGGUCAACAUCAAUUUGUCUUUGAGGAAAAAGUCUAGUGGAAGGUAGCCAGUCCUUUACGGGUCUGGUGUUAUAGACACUAGAGUAAUACUCUGGGGUAGACUGAGGAUCGCAGCAGAGUCUUGGGGACGCUUGUCGCCACGAUGUGAGAGUGAAUAGACAGCGUGCUGACUACCGCUUGUUCAUGUCGGCGCACGGCAGGUCCAUCCCUCCUUUGCUUAGGAUGUUGACGAAAUGGUUUUAAACGACCCGUCUUGAACCACGGAC